rnacentral:rRNA from 1 species
AACGAACGCUGGCGGCAUGCCUAACACAUGCAAGUCGAACGAGACCUUCGGGUCUAGUGGCGCACGGGUGCGUAACGCGUGGGAACCUGCCCUUAGGUUCGGAAUAACUCCCCGUAAGGGGUGCUAAUACCGGUUAAUGUCUUCGGACCAAAGAUUUAUCGCCUUUGGUUGGGCCCGCGUUGGAUUAGCUUUUUGUUAGGGUAAAAGCAUACCAAGGCGACUAUCCAUAGCUGGUCUGAGAGGAUGAUCAGCCACACUGGGACUGAGACACGGCCCAGACUCCUACGGGAGGGAGCAGUGGGGAAUAUAGGACAAUGGGCGAAAGACUGAUCAAGCAAUGACGCGUGAGUGAUGAAGGCCUUAGGGUUGUAAAGCUCUUUUAAACGGGAUGAUAAUGACAGUACCGGGAGAAUAAGCACCGGCUAACUCCGUG